rnacentral:sRNA from 1 species
ACUCUCCCGGAGAUGGUGUCUGGGGUGGCCUCUAAGCCUUGAAUGUACCCCCAAAAGAGUAAGAAGGCCUGGGUCCCCAUGAGGGGCCGUCGGCCUAGAUACCUUGCCCGCGUUCUAGGGGGCCGUCCGGGACCGGGAGAUGGAGGAAGAAAGUUUAGUUCCCCCAGCCGGGCCUGGGAGCCGGCGGAACGUUAUGGGAGCUGUAUUAUAAAGCGAUACUGUGAGAAAAGAUUCGUGUCUAAAUACCUGGCAACAAUUGGAAUUGACUAUGGAGUCACAAAGGUACACGUCAGAGACAGAGAAAUCAAAGUUAACAUCUUUGAUAUGGCUGGACAUCCCUUCUUCUAUGAGAUGAGGAAACUGAGACGCAGAGAGGUUAAGUGACUUGCCCAAGAUCACAAAACUAGUUCGAAAUGAGUUUUACAAGGACACACAGGGUGUGAUACUGGUCUAUGAUGUUGGGCAGAAAGACUCCUUUGACGCCCUUGAUGCAUGGCUGGCAGAAAUGAAGCAAGAGCUUGGACCUCAUGGAAACAUGGAAAAUAUUAUAUUUGUAGUUUG